rnacentral:lncRNA from 1 species
UGAAAACCAACAUUAUUGCAUUCAUCAAAAAUCCAAUACAAAUACAAUAUUUUUCAUAUACCCUUUGUUAAAAAAAUUAAACCUCAAAUUUAAUUAUUUUAAGAGUUUAAGUAAUUAUCUACCCCGUUGCGGCCAUAAACUCAGCCUCUAUGCAUCGGCGACCGUUCAUGCAUAUGUAAUUUAGUCGUCUUCGACUGCCGAAAAACCUUCAACGGGCUCGGAAAAUACCAUCCGCGACGCUUAGUCGUCGCGGGGCUAAAACCGUCACCCGCACCAACCGCAACCGAUCUGGAUCUCAACAUCCUCGAAUAAUCUUCGGUUACUCCAUGACCAUCACUCUUAUUCGAUCCAUCAUCAUGUAAAUCACAUUUACUAGAUUUACCAACUUUAAAAACCGACCAGAAAUUAAUUUUACUCCUGCUAACAUACGCAGGCUUCUUAUUCUCCACCUCAACAAACUCUUGGUCCAACCCGUACCGGGAUCGCGAUCGUAGAAACGGGAUAGCUAGCGAUCUCGAUUUCCGAAAAGCAGGUUCGCUCUCUAUAAGAUUAGAGAUGCGACCUACUUCUCUGUUCCCGUGGCGGGACCCGCCACGGGAAUACUGAAAGAGAGAGAAUGAUGAGGAGGAUGAAGAGGAAGAAGUUGAUGUGGAAUGUUCAUGUUCUCGGGUACGAGAACAUGAACAUGGACGAGUGUUGGCACACUCCGGGCAGAGUGUGACCAACCGGUCACGUAGACACGUAGGACAGAUGCCCGUUGUUCUCCUGCGCUUUAAGGGGUGUUUUGGACAUUUGUAGACUUCUUCUUCCUCGGUGUAGAACGCCAUGUUCGUGUUGUUUAAGUUGUAACGGAUUUCGGUUUUUUCUCUCACUUGAAUUUUCUCUCUCCAGGAAUUAGCCAGUUUGUUAGUGGGUGGGGUGUUUAAAAAGGAAGAGGGGUGGAUGUGGAUCUUCAUCUAACCGUGGUUGGGUUGAAUUAACUAUGGUUGAAACGAUAUGGGUGAGUCUAGUUUUAGUGUUUACACACACCGGUUGGUGGACCAAGCUAGAAGGUUAGGAUAUUAAGGUGUCACAAAUAUGGUCCUUAGAUUGUCAGCCAUUUAUUAAAAAGAUAUACUUUAACUAUUUUAUUAUUGUAGGUGAAGGGAGCGGGAUAGGGGUUCGGGUUCAUUAAGUUGGACGGGAACGUUGUGGCAAAUGGUACAAGAUAGGAUUCGGAUUGGAAAUUCUUGAGAGUGAACUUGAUGUUGAAGCCGUAGAGAUGUCUGUUACGAUUUGGGAAGAUGAAAUUUGGGUUCAUGAGUUCGUUUUCGAGUGCAUUCUGCAAUUUGGGUUCAUCGGGUUUAGUUUAGGUAAAAAUAAGAUGACACUAUUUCAUCGGUGAGUUAACUCUCAUCAAUGAGUUAAUUUGGCUUCAAUUAGGAAAUAUAUCUAAUAUACAUAAAAUAAAAGAUAUAUAGGGUUGUAAACGAAUCGAAUGAACACGGACAAGGCUAUGUUCGUGUUCGUUCGUUAAGGAAAUUAACAUGUUCGCGAACUGUUCACAAACGCAUACCGAACAUAAGUUUAUGUUCGUGUUCGUUUGUUAAGGAAAUUCAGUUGUUCACGAACAGUUCGUGAACACCGGUCUCGAACACAAACGAAUGCAAGCAAAUAACAACGAAUGUAAACGAGCAUUUAACUUGAAAAAAUAAAAAAUAAAAAAACAUUGUUAUCCUUAAACAUUGGAUAUAAGUAGUUAAAUACAACCAUCAAAUGAUAAAUUAAAACACAAGAAGUCUACUACACCACUAAAUGAUAAAUCAAGGUUAACUAACCUAGACAUAAUUAUCCCAAAAAAAUGUCUUAGAGUGUCCAAAUUUUAGCUAACUUAGAAAAAGACAGAGUUUCAAGUUUUCAAUAUAUUUAGAUAAAAGAUUUAUUAUUUAUUAUUUUUAAUAUAAUCACACGAACAUGAACAAACGUAAACAAACAUAUUACCGAACGUUCACGAACGCAGUCGAACGAACGAAAUUUAUUGUUCGGGUUCGUUCGUUAAGCUAAUCGAACAAACAUGAACGAACUUGUCGCCGAACAGUUCACGAACUGUUCGUUAAACGUUUGGUUCGUUUAUAUAUGUGCAUAACGACUUACAUGAAUCAAGGUAAAUAAAAAUAAAGGGAUUAUUGAAUGUUUACAAAUGUAAUUUAACGAAUGAUUUAGUAAUCUUUGUAAAUAUGUAUAAAAUAAUAUUUAUAUAUUGAUAUCGAGAGGGAUCCAGUACAAAUAUGGAGUGACGAAUAAAUGAUAUAAAUAACUAGAGUAAUUAUUAUUAGAGUUAAUUACUGUUUUCGUCUCUGAGGUUUGUUAAAAAUAACGGUUUCAGUCCAUUAGUUUAAAAAUUGCGAUUUCAGUCCAUUAGUUUCAUUUUCGUAACCAUUUCAGUCCACUAACUUAACUCCAUCCAUUUAUUUUGUUAACUUUGAGUUAACUAACUAAUUCAGGGACGGUUUGCGUCAGUUUUAGAAACACAGGGACUUAAGUGUAAACUCUAAGACAUUAA